GCUGUUCUGGCCUUGUCCGGAGUGAUAGGGGCAAAGUCAGAUAUGCUAGUUUGAGAGAAUGCUUCGCUUGGUCCAGCAGGCAGAUUGAAGUCGUAAUCAUAUGGAUUCUGUGGAGGAAUGACAUCUGUAAACAAUUUGCCAGCAAUCCGUAUGUUUCGUUGAGUUGAUAAAUUUACAUGCACAGGAAAGAGCCCAGAAGGUCCACAUCCAGAAUGAUUAUUAAUUCCCACCGAUGCUGCACUUGUAGAUGCAGCUGAGACUGCAGUUGCAAUAGCUGAUAGAUCUACAGAAGAAACAUUGCCGAGUUCAGCUGGAUUCUGUCCGCAUGAGAAGCUCUCACUCCAAACUGAAGCUGCCAUCAAGUUAUUAAAGCUUCCAUUUACUUCCGUGCAACUGCCGGAAUCGGAGCAUGCAACAACUCCUUCAGUUUGAGAUUCCUGAGCAAACCCAAAUGAGCAUCUUUCUGAUUCUAUACAAUUUGCUCCAAAUAUCUGAUUUUCCUGCAACUCAAUAUGGAUCACUGGUCGUUCUUGGCCUUGUUUGCUCAUUCUUUUUGCUCCUUGCUCAAAGUUUCAGCUUGAUUCCGACUUGCCAGAAGAAGACUAGCCGCUGGUCCUUUAAGCACAAUCUUCAUAUCAAAGGCGAGUGCUUGCCUGAAAUUUCCUUUCUGAGGUUGGGUCCUCGAUAACGACGUCUGUGGUCCCCCCUUGUAGUGCAAAGGUGCACGCUUUAGUAAUUGUAGGUUGGUGACGUUUAAUGCAAUUUACUAUACAGUUGUUCUAUGAUUCUCAUCCGGUGGUGGGGAAAGUUCUGAGUGGUAAUGAUGGCUGUAAAAUUCUUUGUUGAUAAGAUUGAUACAUGUGCUGGUUUUCUUUUUAUAUAUUCAUUCAAAAUUUUGCAUGA